GACGAACGCUGGCGGCGUGCUUAACACAUGCAAGUCGAACGGUGAAGCGCCUUCCUUUUUGGUGGGUGUGGAUGAGUGGCGAACGGGUGAGUAACACGUGAGUAACCUGCCCCCUUCUUCUGGAUAACCGCAUGAAAGUGUGGCUAAUACGGGAUAUUCUGGGUCUGUCGCAUGAUGGGUCUGGGAAAGAUAUUGUUUCGGUGGGGGAUGGGCUCGCGGCCUAUCAGCUUGUUGGUGGGGUGAUGGCCUACCAGGGCGGUGACGGGUAGCCGGCCUGAGAGGGUGGACGGUCACACUGGGACUGAGACACGGCCCAGACUCCUACGGGAGGCAGCAGUGGGGAAUAUUGCACAAUGGGCGCAAGCCUGAUGCAGCGACGCCGCGUGAGGGAUGGAGGCCUUCGGGUUGUGAACCUCUUUCGCCAGUGAAGCAGGCCUGCCUCGUUUGUGGGUGGGUUGACGGUAGCUGGAUAAGAAGCGCCGGCUAACUACGUG
rnacentral:rRNA from 1 species